GAUGAACGCUGGCGGCGUGCCUAAUACAUGCAAGUCGAGCGAACGGACGAGAAGCUUGCUUCUCUGAUGUUAGCGGCGGACGGGUGAGUAACACGUGGAUAACCUACCUAUAAGACUGGGAUAACUUCGGGAAACCGUAGCUAAUACCGGAUAAUAUUUUGAACCGCAUGGUUCAAAAGUGAAAGACGGUCUUGCUGUCACUUAUAGAUGGAUCCGCGCUGCAUUAGCUAGUUGGUAAGGUAACGGCUUACCAAGGCAACGAUGCAUAGCCGACCUGCGAGGGCGAUCGGCCACACUGGAACUGAGACACGGUCCAGACUCCUACGGGAGGCAGCAGUAGGGAAUCUUCCGCAAUGGGCGAAAGCCUGACGGAGCAACGCCGAGUGAGUGAUGAAGGUCUUCGGAUCGUAAAACUCUGUUAUUAGGGAAGAACAUAUGUGUAAGUAACUGUGCACAUCUUGACGGUACCUAAUCAGAAAGCCACGGCUAACUACGUG
rnacentral:rRNA from 1 species